rnacentral:rRNA from 1 species
CAGCAGCCACGGUAAUACGGAGGGUGCAAGCGUUAAUCGGAAUUACUGGGCGUAAAGCGCACGCAGGCGGUCUGUCAAGUCAGAUGUGAAAUCCCCGGGCUUAACCUGGGAACUGCAUUUGAAACUGGCAGGCUAGAGUCUUGUAGAGGGGGGUAGAAUUCCAGGUGUAGCGGUGAAAUGCGUAGAGAUCUGGAGGAAUACCGGUGGCGAAGGCGGCCCCCUGGACAAAGACUGACGCUCAGGUGCGAAAGCGUGGGGAGCAAACAGGAUUAGAUACCCCUGUAGUCCCUGUCUCUUAUAU